CGGGGUGGAAUACCGCCUCCUGCAGGCUGCUUACCUGGCCAAGCCUGGGGACUCACUGGCCCAGGCCUUCAAUAUCACCAGCCAGGACGAUGUACUCUUUGCCAUCUUCUCCAAAGGGCAGAAGCAGUAUCACCACCCGCCCGAUGACUCUGCCCUGUGUGCCUUCCCUAUCCGGGCCAUCAACUUGCAGAUCAAGGAGCGCCUGCAGUCCUGCUACCAGGGCGAGGGCAACCUGGAGCUCAACUGGCUGCUGGGGAAGGACGUCCAGUGCACCAAGGCGCCUGUCCCCAUCGAUGAUAACUUCUGUGGACUGGACAUCAACCAGCCGCUGGGAGGCUCAACUCCAGUGGAGGGCCUGACCCUGUACACCACCAGCAGGGACCGCAUGACCUCUGUGGCCUCCUACGUUUACAACGGCUACAGCGUGGUUUUUGUGGGGACUAAGAGUGGCAAGCUGAAAAAGGUAAGAGUCUAUGAGUUCAGAUGCUCCAAUGCCAUUCACCUCCUCAGCAAAGAGUCCCUCUUGGAAGGUAGCUAUUGGUGGAGAUUUAACUACAGGCAACUUUAUUUUCUUGGGGAACAAAGGUGAAAUGGGGAGGUAAGAAGGGGUUAAUUUUGUGACUUAGCUUCUAGCUACUUCCUCCAGCCAUCAGUCAUUGGGUAUGUAAGGAAUGCAAGCAUAUUUCAAUAUUUCCCAAACUUUAAGAAAAAACUUUAAGAAGGUACAUCUGCAAAAGCAAAAAAAAAAAAAAAAAAAAAAAAAAAAAAAAAAAAAAA
rnacentral:sRNA from 1 species